rnacentral:rRNA from 1 species
CCCGCUGAAUUUAAGCAUAUUAAUAAGCGGAGGAAAAGAAACUAACAAGGAUUCCCCUAGUAAUGGCGAAUGAAGCGGGAACAGCUCAAAUUUAAAAUCUCCGUUGCUUGCAACGGCGAAUUGUAGUUUCGAGAAGCACUUUCUCGGCGGAUCCGAGGUCGUCCAAGUUGCUUGGAACAGCACGUCGUAGAGGGUGACAACCCCGUCUGCGGCGACCUCGGCCGUUCACGAUGUGCUUUCGACGAGUCGGGUUGUUUGGGAAUGCAGCCCAAAAUGGGUGGUAAACUCCAUCUAAAGCUAAAUAUUGGCACGAGACCGAUAGCGAACAAGUACCGUGAGGGAAAGAUGAAAAGCACUUUGAAAAGAGAGUUAAAAAGUACGUGAAACCGUUAAAAGGGAAACGAAUGGGGUUAGCAAUGCGUCGUGCGAGAUUCAGCCGGUGGGUGGNCCAGGCGGGCGGUUGGCGGAUCUGAAUGGACCGCUGCCGUUCGGGUUGGUUUCCCGACCGUCGCACUUCUCGCAGGCGCGCGCCAACGUCGGUUAGGGCUGGGUUUCAAAGGCGGUGGGAAAGGUAGGUUUGGACUCUCGGGCCCGAACUGUUACAGUCCUCCGUUUGUCAUGGCCCGGACCUGACCGAGGAGCUUGCGGUGCAUGCCGUUCGGCUAGGGUCCCGUCUUCCCGGUCGGUCGUCGAAUGCGGUGGACUGCGUGCAGUGCGCCGCGACUGCUGCCGGUCGCGAGGGCGGUGAUUUCGUACUAUGCACCCACGACGUUGGCGGUCAUAUGGCCUCAUCCGACCCGUCUUGAAACACGG